rnacentral:miRNA from 12 species
CAAUGUGUCUUGGAUCAGAGU